GACGAACCGAGCGAACGUUGUUCGGAAUCACUGGGCUUAAAGGGUGCGUAGGCGGGCUGCCAAGUUUGGGGUGAAAUCCUCCGGCUCAACCGGGGAAGUGCCUUGAAUACUGGCGGUCUCGAGGGAGGUAGGGGCGUGCGGAACUAACGGUGGAGCGGUGAAAUGCGUUGAUAUCGUUAGGAACUCCGGUGGCGAAAGCGGCGUGCUGGACCUUUUCUGACGCUGAGGCGCGAAAGCUAGGGGAGCAAACGGG
rnacentral:rRNA from 1 species